UUACCGUCUGUGAACACUUCCAAAGAAUCUACCUGACGGGAGGGGUAUGUGUGCACUAGCCACUUCCAAGGAAUACACCUGGAUGGAGGGGGAUGGGAUGUUUUCGAGUGGAAAAGCUGAAGUGCAUGGACGUUUAGAACUACAUUAUGUUCCUUAAAUAUUGGAAUUAACUGUCAAUGGAAGAAAUCUUACCAGCAGAACAACAUACAUAUUUUCUGAGAUGUAGGUCUGGACCUACGGGAAGCUGAGAGAUGGGUAGCAAGAAAGUAAAACGAAGGGGCAGUUUGGACGAUAUAAGACCAACCUUCCACGCAGUGCAAGACAGAACGGUUCAGAUGUCAGACAGACACAAGGACAGAUGUGAAGAUAUUCCCCCAGAAGCUGCUUCCAACAGAGGGAGGAGGAAGCUCAACACAGCUGACAUGAGACCUGCACCAACCCAUUUACCUGCUUAAGAAACGCAUCAAUGAGGCUUUUUCGCCUUUUAGAGAUUUGGAUAUUCCCCUGCACUGAAAUCACUGGAAAUGAGAAUGUGUGUAUGGAUUGUCAUGUUUGCAGUAUUUUCACAACAGCUUCUCGUAUUACUGUUACCGGUGUUAAACUUUGACCAGUCAUGUGGUGGCAUGUUGUUCACUACUCAGUCAGCAGAGGGAGGCAGUGGAGCAUGAGUGGAGAGAACGACAUGUCAUACUUACUGUGGACUACCUAAUGCAUUGGACAGUAGACUGAGACAAAUCAAGAGGGACUCAUAUGUCCCUGGACAUUUUCUGGGAAAGACUGUAGAUAACUCCUCCAGCUUCUGUUCUCCAGCUGAUGGGACAGAACACUCUACCACCAAAAGAAAGGAAGAGGGUCAUUACCAAGGUCAACACUACAAACACCAUAUUCUGCAAAUGCCAUGUAAGUGUCUGUAAUACGGUUGUUUCCUCCUACUCCUCAUUCCACUUUUAUUUUACAUGUUGUACCAGUGUAAUAUAUUGUUUCUGAAGAAAUCCGCUGUUGUCUUAAUACAGUGUAGUUUUUCUCCCUUUAUCUCGUACUGUACAUUUUAUAGGCUAUAUCAUAAUUUGCAAUUAAUCCUCACCAGCGAGUUUCUUGGAUUAUUCUAAAACAAAAUGAUCCAGACAGUUGUGUUGAUAGGAUAUAAAAUCCGUUUUAGGAUGGGUCAUUUGCCUACACCAUGUAGGAAUGUAAAUGAAAGUGAAUAAAUGUCUGAAACACAAUGUU